GAUUAUAAAGAAAAGCCUCUGGGCAUCUCAGGGCAGUCUUUGUGCCUGGAGCUGGGCCCAUUGCAGUGACCAGCAUGACAGACCCUUGUUCCAGCACAAGUCUUCUCCCAGCCAGCAGGAUAGCACAGCCCACGUCCCACACCUGGAGGUUGAGCUGCAUAACAUCUCCAUGCCUACAAAGUCUCACUGUCUCUGAGCACAAAGCUGGCAUGCAACUCAUCCUAGGAGAAAGGUUUUGAGUGGAAGUGUGAUUUAUGAUUCUUCAUGGAGAGUGUUCAGCUUGCAUGUUUGGAACUGUAUUUUUUUGCAGGUUGCAUAUAAGAAAUGAAAUCUAACUGUGCCUUCACCACGUGCAGCAUUCUGGAGAAAUAAGAGAGGGGAGCAAGAGCUGUCAGUAAGCAGCUUGCUAUUUUUGUCUGCUCUCACCAUGUAUAUAACUGGACCAGAAGCUUUUUUUAAACAAUGGUUGUUCCAGUGUUUGAAAUAACAAAGCCAAGCCUUCUAGUCAUAUUUUGUAGUUAAUACAAUGAAAUAAUAUUGUUGGUUGUUUUGUUUGUUUGUUUUUGUUUGUUUGUUUGUUUUUUUAACAUAGAAAAUGUAUUAAAAUAAAACUGGGCUCUUGGUAACAGAACCUGGAAGCCCUGUUCUAUUUUCCUGUAAAUGUAGUCAGAAGAUCUUUCAAGACUAAACUUAGGAAGUGUCUGAUUAAUAUGAAGAUGAGAACAAGCCCAGCCUGGCUCAGCUUCCUGAACGAUGCAACUGAAGAGCAGCGGUGCACAUUAACCACUGCUUCUUGGCGUGACUUGGAUAAAACAAGCAGCUCUGUGCAACUUUCCACCCAGUGUGCCCUGAGAGCAGCAGUGCCACGUGGCACCCAAGAGAGAACUAAAUUUGGGUAAAGAGGCAGCUAUUCAUUCCCUGGGUGCAUAUCCCAGCCCAGCUCCAGCCUGCUGCAGUGCUUGAGCUGAAAUUUUCCCUGUGCUCAGCACAUUGUGUCUGCAAAAACUGGCAAGGGAGGGUGAAGUAAGGACAGCAUGUGCACCCUCCCACAUUUGAAAUUCAUUCCAGAAUGGAAGAAAACCAGAAUUGCCUUGUAAGUGGAAUUUUGCUUGGAAGCUGAAGUUUCAUUUAAUGCAGGAUUUUGCAGUUGCUCUUGUGCUCCUUGAUGCAGUCAAGGUUAGGUCACUAAUUGGGUCAUCAAGCCCCAUGGGUGCAGUGACAGGGUUUAGUGGAGCAGUGUCUAAGUGCUGGAGCAGCAGCAGUCAUAGCUUCGCUGUGCUCAGUGUUGUUGAGCCUUUGUAGGAGGUGCUGGCAAUGCUGAAGAGCUACUGUUGCCAUGGAGCAGAGUCAAAGCUGUUAUUUUAGCAGCAAGAGAAAGAAUAAUCCUCGCCUCUAUUCCAGGACACAGCUAGCUUGCCUCUGAAUGGAGGGGUUUGUUCAGAGAGCACAGGAAUCCAAGCCCGGUGCUUGUGGAGCGAUGCAAACAGGACCGGUCAGCGGGGACAAGGCAGCCCUGUGCCCAGCUGCAGGCUCUCGCCUAGUCCCUGUGCUCAUAGCUGGGGUUAAUGUAAACCUCAGCUGUGCUUCUUGCUGCAAAGUCCUUGGUAUUCACAGGAGGCCAGUUCGGAUCCCUCUGCAGCAUCUGCUGCCACUUUCGGUACUGGCUUUUGGACUGAUACCCAACGCAGGUUUUAAUCAGCAUCCAGAGGUGCUUGUUCUGCAGGAGAACAUCCUGCAGAGUGACACAGCACAGCAUUAGUGGGAGGAGACCAAAGCCAGCCCCUCUGACAUGUGCCAGCCCGAUAGCUGUGUGAGCCACGGCAAUCCUUUUUCAGUACAGGUAUUGCAUUUUCCUCUUGUGGUGAAGGACACUGCAUGCUUGCUGCCUUGCAGGCAAAAAUACCUGCCACAGGAUGCAACUCCAUGCUCCCACCCAGGGUGGCACAGUCAUCUCUGACCCACAAAGCAUCAUUUGUGUCAGCUGCAUGACAGUGCUCACACUCUACAAGCUUAAGACAUGUGGGCUAAGUCAUUUCUAUCAGGUGCUCUAUCACGUAGAUUUGAUUGACACACAGUGACUAAUAAGGAAAAAGGAGAAAAAAUGAAAAAAAGCAUGUUUGUGCAUCUGCAGGAAGAACGUGGCUGCUAACAGAGGAAGAAAGUCCUGAACAGAUGCCGCUCACUACUGGGAACAGAGAGUAAAUGAAUGCACUCACCUCUGUAAAAAAAGAUACACAGAAGGUGACCAGGAGCAUCAGUAGGACAUAAACUCUCCAGAUCACAGGAGUGCAAAGAAACUGUUGGAAAAGACAGGAGCAGCAAUUAAGUUUGAGUGCCCUGCCAAGAUUUGCAUCUGUUCCUAAUGACUGGAGAGGCUGACUAAUACUUUCUCGAUGGCAAGCAUGGAGAAUUCCGUAGGCAGUGACAGUAAUUCCUUGUCACAGAGAUUUGGAGGGGCUGAUGCCAGAUUCCCCAUGGCAUGUAGCUGCUUCACAUCACCACUGACCCUGAGACAGACACCAGCAGAUCAGCAUUCAGAGCUCAAAUAUUCCAGAGAGCUGCAGCCUCCUACAUGCAAACCCACAUUCUGUGCUGUUGUGUUUUUUUGUUAGGAAGAACAGCUCAGCAAGAAACAAAGCACUUUUUCUUCUGCCCAUUGCAGUCUGGAGGGGAGGGCUGCCUCAUCAAUCAAGCCCUUGUUGAAUGGAUGAUACAGAAAUUUGAAAGAGAUGCCCAGGCAACGUCAAACCACAUCCAUGUCAGCAAGGAAGAGGAAGAGGCAGAUGGCGAGCUGGAGGGUCAGAAUGGCUGAAAAUACAUCUGGAGAAACAAGAGCAUGGGUGGCCCUGGGAAAGGGGCUUUGGUGAUCAGGGCUCUGUGAAAUGAGUUUGGGACCAGCCUAUUGCCAAAAAAAACUAGCGAAAUCAGCUCUGCCAAGGUUAAGCAAGAUCCUGCUCUCUCAUCCGUGAGUAAAAAGCUGCAAUUGCAAAGGAGCUAUAAGUCAGCUGGAGGGUGGUAGAGGCUUUUCUCUCUCAUCUCUCGGAAUGGAAGUCAGGCAAGGUAAAACUGAAUCUCAGAGGAACUCUAUUUCAUGUGUGGAUUUUGAAACAAAUACAUCUGAUCCUUGCACACUGUGUUCUCAGUAAUACACAGUUCUGCACUAAGUGCAGUACAUCAUCUUCUGAAAAGCAUCUCUUUUCCAAAACACAGUUUUCUUUUUCAGCUCUGCUGCUCCUUUUUGCUAGAGGGAAACUAACUUAGGCAGUGUUCACUGAGAUUCUUUAAGGAGGGAAGCAGGAGCACAUACACAACAAUUACAUCACGUGCCAGUCACUGGUGUGGGUACAGAAAAAGCUACAUCGUUCUUUGCCUUCUCUUCUGCCAGGAAGAUUUUGGGGCAGAAAGGGAGUGUACAGAGCACAUGUGUUCCAGCUCUACUCACAAUUGGUGUAGAUGGGCUUGCGGAAGGGCUUUCCCUUGGAAAAGACAAAGGCCACAAUGAUGCAGUUGAUGGAGGACAGCGGCCACAACGUUGUGUCUUCAUAGCUGAGGACAGUGCUCUGGGCACUGCUGCUGGUACUGUUUUCCCCUGGGCCAGUGGGGAGCAAGGUGUGGUUCCUGAGUGAACAGUGUCUGCAAAGUAACAAUCAUCAUCUUGUUCCUGCCUUCUGCAAGAGUGAGCUGCAACAACAACCCUUUCUCCUUUCCUACCCGCAGCAACCAGAUAUCACUGGCAGCAAUAAAAAACACAGUAAAUAGAUAUCAUGUAUACGUAUACGUAGCUGAAAGUCACAGCUUGAAGCAGUGAUUGAGCACCUGGUGGGAAGGCAGGGCCAACCCAAGGAGCUCAGGUGCAUGCAAUGUACCUGAGUGGCCAGAAGAGAUGGAGCCAGGAUGCACCCCUUCCCAAACCUCAUUUAAGGGUUGGCAGCAAAGGCAAGUAGAUCUUGCUGGAGAACCCUGCCUACCUGAGGCCUUCUAAAGAUUUGCUCAGCAGUUCUGGGAAUCAAGUGCACUGCCACACAAAAUCGUCUUUGCAUACAUUUGGCUAAAUGGCAUUAUUCCUGGCUGUUCAAUGACUACAUACAGCACUUGGAUAUGAAAUUUGUAGCUCCCCAGGAUCCCUGUGCACUGCUGUGCAUCUCACACUCGUGACCCCAUGCACUGAACUUGGUGCAGGCAUUGUCCUGAGCCCAACGCAGGGCAGCAGCCAACCAACCUGAUCAGCUCUGGCACACACUGGAUGUUGGGGAUCUGCGAGGUGAAAGGUGAAGCCACCGAUGCCUCCUGCUCAGACAGCGAUAUCCCAGCGUGGGCCACCUUCAAAGCCUGAAACCCACAGGAGCGGGAAGCUGGAGAGGCACACAUCCACCCUUCCCACUGCAUUUAGUGGUGCUUCACAUGUUUUCAAGUGUGCUUUGUCAUUGAUGUUUCCUUAUUCUGUGGCCCAGCUGAUCUCAUUUUUCAGAUAUCUUUCCUCCUCUAGAGCUUAAAUAUUUCUUUUGUUCAUUUAAUCCCACUGUGCCUAUUUACAGUUCUCUGAACUACCCUUCUCUGUCUCCCACAAAGCCUGUUGGGGUUUGUGCAUACCUCUCCUGUUGAACAACUGCCAAACUACUUAAAUCAGCAUGUUCUCCUUGUUCCGCUCCUUUUCAUCUCUUGAUCAUAUUUCUUUUAUUUCUUAUGAGGUCCAUGUGAGCCAGCCCUUUCCCCUCUGGCCUAGCACUAAGGAACAGGUUAUGGAUGGCUUACACCAAACCAGCUAAUGCUGUUACAAAAUGAUAUUAUGGUAACACAUUUAUUGUAGCAAUGUAAUAGACAACGUAAUAAUGAUUUUGAGCAUUAAGGUCCUCAAAUUUGCAUUUGAACAAAUA